GACGUAGGGUGCGAGCGUUGUCCGGAUUUAUUGGGCGUAAAGAGCUCGUAGGCGGCUUGUCGCGUCGGAUGUGAAAGCCCGGGGCUUAACUCCGGGUCUGCAUUCGAUACGGGCAGGCUAGAGUUCGGUAGGGGAGAUCGGAAUUCCUGGUGUAGCGGUGAAAUGCGCAGAUAUCAGGAGGAACAUCAGUGGCGAAGGCGGCCAUCUGGGACAACACUGACGCUGAAGCACGAAAGCGUGGGGAGCAAACAGG
rnacentral:rRNA from 1 species